UGUCUUGUACCCCAGUUACAUUUGCCAAUAAUAGAUGAACUUUUAUAUAGAAAUAUUAAUUUUAAUGUCUAUGGUAGCUCUUUUCAUAGUGGCAAGAAACUGGAAACUGAGUGGAUUCCCAUCAGUUGGAGAAUGACUGAAAGUGGGGAAGAAGGACAAGACUGCAGUGGACAAGGAUAGGUUUUUGAGAUUCUCACAUGGGAAGUACUAUCAGAAUCCUAUAAAUUCAAAGUCCCAGAGCAAAAUAUGACUUCCCUAACCAAGCUGAAGUGGAAGCCAUGCCUUGCCCUGACAAAAUGUUUGAUGCUGCCUUUUGAGCAUUAGAACUUGGUAGAGAUACAAAGAACUGGACUGAAGAAUGAUUAGGGGCAUUGCUGUGUCAUCAAGAGGACAAUUUGCUCUUUUCCAGUCAUAGAUGGGGCUUUCCCUUUAUAAAAAGCAACACCUCAUUCAUGGGUCAUGUUGAAAUCCUAUGUUGUCCUUGGAAUGUUUUGUAAAACUUCUCUCUUGUGUAAUGCAACAGAGUCCAAUAAACCAACAUGUUUUGUAGUCAUUUCUCAGAAA